GACGAACGCUGGCGGCGUGCCUAACACAUGCAAGUCGAGCGAGGUAUUUAUACCUAGCGGCGGACGGGUGAGUAACACGUGGGUAACCUGCCUCAUAGAGGGGAAUAGCCUUCCGAAAGGGAGAUUAAUACCGCAUAAUAUAUACCGGUAGCAUUAAUGGUAUAUCAAAGGAGAAAUCCGCUAUGAGAUGGGCCCGCGGGCGCAUUAGCUAGUUGGAGAGGUAACGGCUCACCAAGGCGACGAUGCGUAGCGACCUGAGAGGGUGAUCGGCCACGAUUGGAACUGAGACACGGUCCAGACUCCUACGGGAGGCAGCAGUGGGGAAUAUUGUACAAUGGGGGAAACCCUGAUGCAGCAACGCCGCGUGAAUGAUGACG
rnacentral:rRNA from 1 species